rnacentral:rRNA from 1 species
CACUAUCGUUAACUGAAUACAUAGGUUAACGAGGCGAACCGGGGGAACUGAAACAUCUAAGUACCCCGAGGAAAAGAAAUCAACCGAGAUUCCCCCAGUAGCGGCGAGCGAACGGGGAGCAGCCCAGAGUCUGAAUCAGCUUGUGUGUUAGUGGAACGGUCUGGAAAGUCCGACGGUACAGGGUGAUAGUCCCGUACACCAAAAUGCACAGGUUGUGAACUCGAAGAGUAGGGCGGGACACGUGGUAUCCUGUCUGAAUAUGGGGGGACCAUCCUCCAAGGCUAAAUACUCCUGACUGACCGAUAGUGAACCAGUACCGUGAGGGAAAGGCGAAAAGAACCCCGGCGAGGGGAGUGAAAAAGAACCUGAAACCGUGUACGUACAAGCAGUGGGAGCACCUUCGGGUGUGACUGCGUACCUUUUGUAUAAUGGGUCAGCGACUUAUAUUCUGUAGCAAGGUUAACCGUAUAGGGGAGCCGCAGGGAAACCGAGUCUUAACUGGGCGUUAAGUUGCAGGGUAUAGACCCGAAACCCGGUGAUCUAGCCAUGGGCAGGUUGAAGGUUGGGUAACACUAACUGGAGGACCGAACCGACUAAUGUUGAAAAAUUAGCGGAUGACUUGUGGCUGGGGGUGAAAGGCCAAUCAAACCGGGAGAUAGCUGGUUCUCCCCGAAAGCUAUUUAGGUAGCGCCUCGUGAAUUCAUCUUCGGGGGUAGAGCACUGUUUCGGCUAGGGGGUCAUCCCGACUUACCAACCCGAUGCAAACUACGAAUACCGAAGAAUGUUAUCACGGGAGACACACGGCGGGUGCUAACGUCCGUCGUGAAGAGGGAAACAACCCAGACCGCCAGCUAAGGUCCCAAAGUCAUGGUUAAGUGGGAAACGAUGUGGGAAGGCACAGACAGCCAGGAUGUUGGCUUAGAAGCAGCCAUCAUUUAAAGAAAGCGUAAUAGCUCACUGGUCGAGUCGGCCUGCGCGGAAGAUGUAACGGGGCUAAACCAUGCACCGAAGCUGCGGCAGCGACACUAUGUGUUGUUGGGUAGGGGAGCGUUCUGUAAGCCUGCGAAGGUGNUGCUGGAGGUAUCAGAAGUGCGAAUGCUGACAUAAGUAACGAUAAAGCGGGUGAAAAGCCCGCUCGCCGGAAGACCAAGGGUUCCUGUCCAACGUUAAUCGGGGCAGGGUGAGUCGACCCCUAAGGCGAGGCCGAAAGGCGUAGUCGAUGGGAAACAGGUUAAUAUUCCUGUACUUGGUGUUACUGCGAAGGGGGGACGGAGAAGGCUAUGUUAGCCGGGCGACGGUUGUCCCGGUUUAAGCAUGUAGGCUGGUUAUCCAGGCAAAUCCGGAUAAUCAAGGCUGAGGUGUGAUGACGAGGCACUACGGUGCUGAAGUAACAAAUGCCCUGCUUCCAGGAAAAGCCUCUAAGCAUCAGGUAACAUCAAAUCGUACCCCAAACCGACACAGGUGGUCAGGUAGAGAAUACCAAGGCGCUUGAGAGAACUCGGGUGAAGGAACUAGGCAAAAUGGUGCCGUAACUUCGGGAGAAGGCACGCUGGUGUGUAGGUGAAGCCCCUGCGGGUGGAGCUGAGACCAGUCGAAGAUACCAGCUGGCUGCAACUGUUUAUUAAAAACACAGCACUGUGCAAACACGAAAGUGGACGUAUACGGUGUGACGCCUGCCCGGUGCCGGAAGGUUAAUUGAUGGGGUUAUCCGUAAGGAGAAGCUCUUGAUCGAAGCCCCGGUAAACGGCGGCCGUAACUAUAACGGUCCUAAGGUAGCGAAAUUCCUUGUCGGGUAAGUUCCGACCUGCACGAAUGGCGUAAUGAUGGCCAGGCUGUCUCCACCCGAGACUCAGUGAAAUUGAACUCGCUGUGAAGAUGCAGUGUACCCGCGGCAAGACGGAAAGACCCCGUGAACCUUUACUAUAGCUUGACACUGAACAUUGAGCCUUGAUGUGUAGGAUAGGUGGGAGGCUUUGAAGCGUGGACGCCAGUCUGCGUGGAGCCAACCUUGAAAUACCACCCUUUAAUGUUUGAUGUUCUAACGUUGGCCCCUGACCGGGGUUGCGGACAGUGUCUGGUGGGUAGUUUGACUGGGGCGGUCUCCUCCCAAAGCGUAACGGAGGAGCACGAAGGUUAGCUAAUCCUGGUCGGACAUCAGGAGGUUAGUGCAAUGGCAUAAGCUAGCUUGACUGCGAGCGUGACGGCGCGAGCAGGUGCGAAAGCAGGUCAUAGUGAUCCGGUGGUUCUGAAUGGAAGGGCCAUCGCUCAACGGAUAAAAGGUACUCCGGGGAUAACAGGCUGAUACCGCCCAAGAGUUCAUAUCGACGGCGGUGUUUGGCACCUCGAUGUCGGCUCAUCACAUCCUGGGGCUGAAGUAGGUCCCAAGGGUAUGGCUGUUCGCCAUUUAAAGUGGUACGCGAGCUGGGUUUAGAACGUCGUGAGACAGUUCGGUCCCUAUCUGCCGUGGGCGCUGGAGAAUUGAGGGGGGCUGCUCCUAGUACGAGAGGACCGGAGUGGACGCAUCACUGGUGUUCGGGUUGUCAUGCCAAUGGCACUGCCCGGUAGCUAAAUGCGGAAGAGAUAAGUGCUGAAAGCAUCUAAGCACGAAACUUGCCCCGAGAUGAGUUCUCCCUGAGACUUUAAGUCUCCUGAAGGAACGUUGAAGACGACGACGUUGAUAGGCCGGGUGUGUAAGCGCAGCGAUGCGUUGAGCUAACCGGUACUAAUGAACCGUGAGGCUUAACCUU